rnacentral:rRNA from 1 species
GGGUAGGGAUACCCGCUGAACUUAAGCAUAUCAAUAAGCGGAGGAAAAGAAACCAACAGGGAUUGCCUCAGUAACGGCGAGUGAAGCGGCAAAAGCUCAGAUUUGAAAGCUAGCAUCUUCGAUGUUCGCAUUGUAAUCUGUAGAGGAGUGUUCGAGCAUAGCUUUGACUCAAGUUCUUUGGAACAGGACGUCAUGGAGGGUGAGAAUCCCGUUCAUGGUUGUUGACUUAUGCUUAUGUGAACCUCCUUCAAUGAGUCGAGUUGNUUGGGAAUGCAGCUCUAAA